GGCGGAGGGUGAGUACACGUGGGCAACCUGCCUGUAAGACUGGGAUAACACCGSGAAACCGGUGCUAAUACCGGAUAAUCCUUUUCCUCUCAUGAGGAAAAGCUGAAAGACGGUUUCGGCUGACACUUACAGAUGGGCCCGCGGCGCAUUAGCUAGUUGGUGAGGUAACGGCUCACCAAGGCGACGAUGCGUAGCCGACCUGAGAGGGUGAUCGGCCACACUGGGACUGAGACACGGCCCAGACUCCUACGGGAGGCAGCAGUAGGGAAUCUUCCACAAUGGACGAAAGUCUGAUGGAGCAACGCCGCGUGAGCGAUGAAGGCCUUCGGGUCGUAAAGCUCUGUUGUUAGGGAAGAACAAGUACCGGAGUAACUGCCGGUACCUUGACGGUACCUAACCAGAAAGCCACGGCUAACUACGUGCCAGCAGCCGCGGUAAUACGUAGGUGGCAAGCGUUGUCCGGAAUUAUUGGGCGUAAAGCGCGCGCAGGCGGUCCUUUAAGUCUGAUGUGAAAGCCCACGGCUCAACCGUGGAGGGUCAUUGGAAACUGGGGGACUUGAGUGCAGAAGAGGAAAGCGGAAUUCCACGUGUAGCGGUGAAAUGCGUAGAGAUGUGGAGGAACACCAGUGGCGAAGGCGGCUUUCUGGUCUGUAACUGACGCUGAGGCGCGAAAGCGUGGGGAGCAAACAGGAUUUAGAUACCCUGGUAGUCCACGCCGUAAACGAUGAGUGCUAAGUGUUAGAGGGUUUCCGCCCUUUUAGUGCUGCAGCUAACGCAUUAAGCACUCCGCCUGGGGGAGUACGGYCGCAAGGCUGAAACUCAAAGGAAUUGACGGGGGC
rnacentral:rRNA from 1 species